CGGUGCCAAGGGAUGGGGCUGUAUCCUAUCAGCUUGUUGGUGAGGUAAUGGCUCACCAAGGCAAUGACGGGUAGCUGGUCUGAGAGGAUGAUCAGCCACACUGGAACUGAGACACGGUCCAGACUCCUACGGGAGGCAGCAGUGGGGAAUAUUGCACAAUGGGGGAAACCCUGAUGCAGCAACGCCGCGUGGAGGAUGACGCAUUUCGGUGUGUAAACUCCUUUUAUUAGGGAAGAAU
rnacentral:rRNA from 1 species